rnacentral:lncRNA from 1 species
CAACAGAUGAAUGAUAAAACAAAAUGUGGAAAUUAAAUUAUUGGCCUCAGAUGUUAUUUGCAUCUUCUCUUAACCUUGAGCUUGGAGCAUCAGUGACACUAGAUGAAUAGCAGACCACAAAUAGUAAGACAGUGGCAACAGAAACAGCACGUCAUUGGCAACAGAAUGACAAGUAUGACAACAGCACAACCAGAAAAAACCAAGAACAAGCAGUACCAAAGAGGUCGACAACAAAAACAAUAUGACAGAAGCAUGACAGGUUACCCAAUUUGCAACAGAGGCAACAGAAACCAUCCUAGGACUGCCAACAGAAAUAGCAACCUUUGAGCAACCAUCCUAGGACAACAUCUGAGAAACAACAGAAGUUUGGAGAAGCAGUACCAAGGGAUAGGUGGCAACAACAUCAAAUUGCUUGGGUAACCAAGAUAGGUAACUCCAUAUGCAUAAUAUCCAAUUUGCAUAGGUAUAUGUCUGUAAACUAGCAAGUCUGAUAUGGUAAGUUAUAAAAAAAAUAGCCUCAGAUGUUAUUUUCAACUCCCCUUGAUCUUGAGCUUGGAGCAUCAGUGACACAACAGGAAAAUAAGACCAAUAACAGUAGCACAAUGGCAACAGAAACAAUAGCAAUGUCACCAGAAAUAACAGCAUAGGCACAAUAUGGACAAUAGCUAAGCAACAGCACAAGCAUAAGUAAGGAACAUGCACUACUAGUUGGCAACAAGAACAACAACAUCAAUGUCAUGGUCCCUCACAAGCUCAAGGUCAUCUGAUGCUACCCAUAUAGUUUUAAUUGGGCAAAUAAGUUUGUCAUCAUAGGCAUUUUGCCUUACCUUAAAUAAAAUAAGUAACCAUCAAGACAGUAGAUAAAUAGCAGAGCAGAAACAGUAGGACAAUGGCAAUGGAAACAGCAGGACAUUGCCAACAAAAAGAGCAGUAACAGCACAUCUACAACAACACAACCAGAAAUGGUGAACAGCCAAUUUUAUUUCCAUCUUCGCUUGACCUUAGAAAGGGGAGCAUCAGUGGCACAAUGGCAAAAGAAGACCAGAAACAGUAGCAUAUUGGCAACAGAAACAACAGGAGUGCCAACAGAAAGAGCAGAACCAAGGGAUAGGUGCAACAACAUCAAAUUGGUCAGGUAACCAAGACAGGUAACCCCAUAAGCAUAUUAUCCAAUGUGCAUAUGUAUGGGCGUGAUUGGUUGCAAAGGUCCCACCGUCCGCUGCAUGACCCCGAAGCAUCCCGUGCACUCUCGCAGGAGUGACACAAGAUGAAAAUAAGACCAAAAACAGUACCAGAAUGGCAACAGGAAUAGCAGCAAUGUCACCAGAAAUAACAGUGCCACCAGAACAUGGACAAUAACUUAGCAACAGCACAAUGGUAAGUAAGGAGCAUGCAGUACUAGUUGGCAACAACAACAGCAAGAUCAAUGUCAUGGUCCCUCACAAGCUCAAGGUCAUCUGAUGCUACCCAUAUAGUUUUAAUUGGGCAAAUAAGUGUGUCAUCAUAGGCAUUUUGUCUUACCUUAAAUAACAUAAGUAACCAUCAAGGCAGAAGGAAGCAACCAACACAUAGGAAAUGCUGAAAAGAUGGACUUACCAGGUAUCCAGAAGCAGUAGCAGGUCUUAAUAACAAGAACAAUGGCAUAGUUAGUCAGAAGCUUAAGGUCAUGUGAUGGUACCCAUGGGGAAAAUAAUUUAUCAUGAACAGCACAACUAGAAAAAAAGAACAAGUAGCAAGUCUGAUAUGCUAAGUGACAAAAGAAUUGGCCUCAGAUGUUAUUUUCAUCUUCCCUUGACCCUGAGCUUGGAGCAUCAGUGACACAAGACCAAAAUAAGACCAAAAAUAGUAGCACAAUGGCAACAGGAACUAUAGCACAGUGAACACAAAAAACAGCAGUAGCACAACAUGGACAACAGCUCAGGAACAACACAACCAUAAGGAACAAGAAUCACAAGAUCAAUGUCAUAGUCCCUCACAAGCUCAAGGUCAUCUGAUGAUACCCAUAUACUUCUAAUUGGGCAAAUAAGUUUGUCAUCAUAGGCAUUUUUUCUUACCUUAAAUAACAAAAGUAACCAUCAAGGCAGAAGGAAGCAACCAUCAUAUAGAAAAGGAUGAAAAUAAGAUGGACUUACCAUGUAGCAGUUCUUAAGAAGAAGAACAAGAACAACAUAUGCAUCCAUGAAUUCAGAACAUGUAUCCAAGAUGAAAGACUUGGCAUCCAUCACAUUGACCAGGUGUAGGUGUUCAUGUUUACACACCCAACAGAUCCCUCCAAACCACCUUUAGCAGAUGGAACCAUGUAGCCUAUGCUAUACAAAAAUAUUUGCAGCAUUGGAAAUAUCCCAAAUGGUAUGUCUACCCUCACCAUCAGUGGUUAGUGCUAACCCAAAAUGUCAGACUACAGCAUAGGCAAGCAAAAUAACACAUAACAGUCGACAUCCACCUAGAGGAAGUUAGAUUGGCUCAGGUAGGUCCUAAGCCAAAGGAUCCUAUGGGCUUCACUCAUCUGAACAAAGCAUAGGCCUUCUGCUUUGUUCUUGAGCAAGUACACAAGUACAAACAUCAAGGCCUCCUGUGAGUACCCAGGAUAGGACAUGACACAACCAUAGAGAUCUGCAUGGACCUCAUUGUGCUGAGGAGCUUUCAGGGCUUCUGCAACAGAGGCAACAGCAACAGUCAUACCAUGCAUCAGCUGGUAUUCUUCCUCACCCAACUUCCUCCUUUUACCACCUCUCCCUUCCUUAUCAUCAGAACUCUUAGAGGUGUCCAGCCCAUUGGAGCCUACAUUUUUCUUACCAGAAUCACCCUCAUUCCCAUCUAAAUUAAUUGUCUCUGUUGCAAGAUCCCCCCCUCAAGGUGUCCAAGGUCAGUAGGUACACCUAAAGGUUCAUUGGAACCCAUGGCAAACCUACCAGUAGCCUGACUAGACCCAAAAAUGGCCUCCAUUUGGACAUAGUUCUCAAUUGGGGUGUUCAAGAACUUGGCAUCAGCAGGAUGAUCCUAGUUGGGCAAAAGGUUGUGCAACAGUUAGAGAUAAGGGUAGCUAUUAAUCAUAACAGUGAGGUAUAUGUAAGCUGUGGCCUAACCUUAGUGUGCCCUAUCAGAUGCUCCUCCUCAAGGACUAUCAUAUGAUGGUCCUCAUUCCAGAGAGCACCACUGAGGUCCUUGAGCCUAGCAAUCUUAACCCACCUCUGUCUCCAUUUGCGUAGGUGGUUAUAAAUUUGGUUGGUGGUAACAUUCACCUCAGCAAAAUCAGAAACCAUCCUAGCAACUUGCCUAACAUGCACUUCCUUGAAGCCUUUGUCAGUUUUGACCCCUUGCCCAACCAGAUCAUGAAACCUCCUAAGCAUGAAGGCUGACUGAACACUGGUCCAUUGCAUUGGCCCCCCAGGCUGGGCUCCAUUGGGUGGAGGGGCUGCUGGGAACACUUCCUCCACAGCAGCCACCCCACCCUCGGCCCCUGCCUCAUUGACAACACCAACCACAUCCUCACCCAUCACAGCCAUGUCCUAACCAUCAUACCAUAACAAAAACAAACACCAAAGCACUUAGAAAUCAAACAUGAAAGUAAGUACUGCAUGCAAAUAUCAUACCAAGUUGUAUUGUUCAUGAUUGCAGUUACACAUCAUAGCAAAGUACCAAGGUCUCAGACCAUAUUACAAAUUCAUCAAUGCUAGUUAAUAGUACAUGACCCCAAAUACUUAAGUGCAAUUAAACUCUAGAAGAUCCCCUAUUCUGCCACAUUUGUGCAGCCCAUGCAUCCCUUUGCUGUGCCCAGGUUCCAUUAUCAGCACUAAGUUCUGGCUCAGGGGGGUAUCAGUUGAGUUAGGAGUCCAAGCAGCUUCAGUGGGAACAUGUUCAUCUUGUCCAUGCCUAAGUAUCCAAUUGUGCAGAAUACAACAGGUAAGAACCAACUUAACUUGGGUUUUGUAAGGAUGGAAAGGCUUGUUAUCAAGGAUUCUGAAUCUAUUCUUUAAAGCACCAAAGGCCCUCUCUACUGUCACCCUAAGGGAAGAAUGCCUCAGGUUGAACAACUCUCUUUGAUUUUGUGGCCUAUUUGAACCAAACUCCCUCAAGUGGUACCUUGUACCACGAUAUGGCGGCAGGAACCCAGGCCUGGCUGCAUAUCCAGCAUCCACAAGAUAGAAUUUCCCUAGACAAUGUAACAAAUGGAGAUGGUUUAUCAGUUUAGUGUGUGCAAGUAUUGUUGCCAUGUGUGUAUGUGAGUUAUGGUACCUUGUGGGACUGUAAGACCAUCUGCCCUUUCAAGAGCAUCUGAUAAAAUCAGAGCAUCAUGUGCAGAUCCCUCCCAACCAGCAAGCACAUAUGUGAACCUUAGAUCAAAGUCCACUGCUGCAAGUACAUUCUGAGUGAUGGUGUGCUUCCUGCCUCUAAAGGCAGCUUGCAUCUUCAAAGGCACUCUAGCUAGGACAUGUGUCCCAUCAAUUGCUCCUAUGCAAUCCUAAAAAUAAAAAGCCAUAUUAACAGGUUGGUACCAUAUUGGUCAGGUCAAUUGGGUUGCAAUUAGGAAAGGGCCACCAACCUUGAAAUAUGGGUUCCAUCUCCUGCUGCCAAGGAUCCUAGGAUGGACACUAGUGGAUGCUGGAACAAUCAACUCAUUUCUCAACUCACCAACUGCAUACAAGACUUGAUGAAAGAACCUACUAAUAGUUUCAGGUGACCUCAUAUAUGUCAUGUUAAUGACCCUGAACCUUUGGUUGUGUCCAACUACAUGCAAGAACAUUGCUACCUGUUCUUCAACAGUGGCAUGGAUGCUAUCCACAACCAACUCUCUAGACCUAAACAGGUCACACAGUUGGAAAAAAGGUGCCCUUCUCAUUCUUAGCAGGUUGACACAAUGCACAUCAUCAGAUUCAUAAAUGAAUCUGAGGUUGCUAUUCCUCUCUCUGUCCCUCUCUGCCAUGGGACCAUAGGUAAUAGAUCGAGCUUCCUCACUUCUCCUUCUAAACCACAAGAAAAACCAAGCAGCAACAGCAGCAACAAGAGCAGCCGCAGCCCGGCGCCUACCUUGGAAGUCCAUGUCUAACAAUACAAUGCAGUGUUCAUUAGAGCUGAGUAUACAAAAACUUGGGUCAUGUUGUUAACCAAGCAAACAUUCUGAACUACAUUAUAUCCUAGACGCGGCUGCCACACCCGAAGGUGCUCCUCCGACGGCAAGGAAUCAUCAUCGACCUAGGCACUUUGCUCAGCUAACUAGGGGCUCAUUGGUUGCAAAGCAGUAAGCCAUGAUUUCAGGAUUCAAGAAAUCAGAUCCACAAAUAUACACGACAACCUUAGAUGCGCAUAAGAACGAACAUAGGGUUACCCUAGCACCAUAUAUGCAGAUGCACAAACAACAUAGGGUGGAUGAAAACCAACCAAGAUGUACCGUCGCAGGACCGGCGGCGGCUCAGGGUGCCGCCGGAGGACCCCGACCCACACAAGAACCGAACAAAAAUUCAGAUCGACCUCUACACAUGUGAGAACCAUAGAUCUGCAUCACAAAAAGUACCUACGGUUCAUCACAACCUUAAAUCCACAAAAGGAGCGCACGGAUCUGACAGAAGAAUAGCCUAGGGUUCAUCGACACCAACCAAAAAAAUACGAAUCGACAGAUCAGCGGGGGAGAGGGGAUCAAGCAGCGUAAAGAGGAGGGGGAGAUGUACCGUCGCAGCACCGCCGGGGGCACAGGGCGCCGCCGGAGUACCUCGAGCCACCGGCGAACCGAGAGCGAAUAGGAGGAGGAAGAGGAGAAGGCGCACCGGGGAGGAGGGGAGCGAAGAAAAUGGCGCGAGGAUGGGAGGUCACCGUAACCUCCCGCGCCUUUAGCCCCGAUACGGCGCCAUCUCCCGCCCUCCGCCGAAAUCUUCCCGCCAGCACCGCGCCAUCCCGGCUCGCGAGAGAAGGUGCCCUCUGGGCGGAUGGGGCGAUGCGGGAUGGAGUGAGGGAAAGGAACGGGGGCAUGCGCCGUUUCGAUUCCGGGAGGCAAACCGAACACGCGACAGUGCACGGGAUGCUUCGGGGUCAUGCAGCGGAUGGUGGGACGCGGGCAACCAAUCACGCCCUAAUAACUCACUGCUGCGGCCAUGCACUCGUCGCCACGAGGCGGAUGCCCAGGGGCACGCGUGCCGCGCCACGGUAAGGUAGGCUCCGCCCUCCGCGGGGUGCGACUCCACCUGCGCUGGUGAAACUAGCCGCGGCGUGGCGUGGGUCGCCGAGCGCCACGCGUGGCCGGCCACUGCGCUGCCGGUCGGUCCCUGCCGCUUUCUUCUUCUGGGCUAGAUUAUUAGUAUUACUGUUCUUGGACCAAAGAAUCACACCACACGCAUCAGAGCGUAUCUUGGGUUGCUCGAAAUGGUGUGGGCAUCGGUCCAGAUGACGCGAGAUGGC